rnacentral:rRNA from 1 species
GUCGAGAAUCUUUCACAAUGGGGGCAACCCUGAUGGAGCGACGCCGCGUGGAGGAUAAGGUCUUCGGAUUGUAAACUCCUGUCAUGCGUGAACAAGGUUGCUUGGAUAAUACCUGAGCAAAUUGAUGGUAGCGCAAGAGGAAGAGACGGCUAACUCUGUGCCAGCAGCCGCGGUAAUACAGAGGUCUCAAGCGUUGUUCGGAAUCACUGGGCGUAAAGGGUGCGUAGGUGGCGUGGCAAGUCAGAUGUGAAAGCCCGGGGCUCAACCUCGGAACUGAAUCCGAUACUGCCAUGCUAGAGUACUGGAGGGGUGACUAGAAUUCUCGGUGUAGCAGUGAAAUGCGUAGAUAUCGAGAGGAAUACCAAAGGCGUAGGCAGGUCACUGGACAGUUACUGACACUGAGGCACGAAGGCCAGGGGAGCGAACGGGAUUAGAUACCCCUGUAGUCC